rnacentral:rRNA from 1 species
ACGCUCGACACCUACGUGAGGCAGCAGUUGGGAAUAUUGGACAAUGGAGGAAACUCUGAUCCAGUGACGCCGCGUGAAGGAAGAAGGUCUUCGGAUUGUAAACUUAUUUUGUCAGGGAAGAAAAAUGACUGUACCUGAAGAAAAAGCACCGGCUAACUACGUGCCAGCAGCCGCGGUAAUCUGAGCGGGCUGGCAAGGC